UACGUAGGGUGCAAGCGUUGUCCGGAAUUAUUGGGCGUAAAGAGCUCGUAGGCGGUCUGUCACGUCGGAUGUGAAAAUCCAGGGCUUAACCCUGGACCUGCAUUCGAUACGGGCAGACUAGAGUUCGGUAGGGGAGACUGGAAUUCCUGGUGUAGCGGUGAAAUGCGUAGAUAUCUGGAGGAACACCGGUGGCGAAGGCGGCGUUCUGGACUGCAUCUGACACUGAGAGACGAAAGCCAGGGGAGCGAACGGG
rnacentral:rRNA from 1 species